GACGAACGCUGGCGGUGUGCUUAACACAUGCAAGUCGAACGGAAAGGCCCUGCUUUUGUGGGGUGCUCGAGUGGCGAACGGGUGAGUAACACGUGAGUAACCUGCCCUUGACUUUGGGAUAACUUCAGGAAACUGGGGCUAAUACCGGAUAGGAGCUCCUGCUGCAUGGUGGGGGUUGGAAAGUUUCGGCGGUUGGGGAUGGACUCGCGGCUUAUCAGCUUGUUGGUGGGGUAGUGGCUUACCAAGGCUUUGACGGGUAGCCGGCCUGAGAGGGUGACCGGCCACAUUGGGACCGAGAUACCGCCCCGACCCCUUCGGGAGGCCGCAGGGGGGAAUAUUGCACAAUGGGCGGAAGCCUGAUGCAGCAACGCCGCGUGCGGGAUGACGGCCUUCGGGUUGUAAACCGCUUUCGCCUGUGACGAAGCGUGAGUGACGGUAAUGGGUAAAGAAGCACCGGCUAACUACGUG
rnacentral:rRNA from 1 species